UAUAAUGCAAGUCGAGCGGACAGAAGGGAGCUUGCUCCCGGAUGUUAGCGGCGGACGGGUGAGUAACACGUGGGUAACCUGCCUGUAAGACUGGGAUAACUCCGGGAAACCGGAGCUAAUACCGGAUAGUUCCUUGAACCGCAUGGUUCAAGGAUGAAAGACGGUUUCGGCUGUCACUUACAGAUGGACCCGCGGCGCAUUAGCUAGUUGGUGGGGUAAUGGCUCACCAAGGCGACGAUGCGUAGCCGACCUGAGAGGGUGAUCGGCCACACUGGGACUGAGACACGGCCCAGACUCCUACGGGAGGCAGCAGUAGGGAAUCUUCCGCAAUGGACGAAAGUCUGACGGAGCAACGCCGCGUGAGUGAUGAAGGUUUUCGGAUCGUAAAGCUCUGUUGUUAGGGAAGAACAAGUGCGAGAGUAACUGCUCGCACCUUGACGGUACCUAACCAGAAAGCCACGGCUAACUACGUGCCAGCAGCCGCGGUAAUACGUAGGUGGCAAGCGUUGUCCGGAAUUAUUGGGCGUAAAGGGCUCGCAGGCGGUUUCUUAAGUCUGAUGUGAAAGCCCCCGGCUCAACCGGGGAGGGUCAUUGGAAACUGGGAAACUUGAGUGCAGAAGAGGAGAGUGGAAUUCCACGUGUAGCGGUGAAAUGCGUAGAGAUGUGGAGGAACACCAGUGGCGAAGGCGACUCUCUGGUCUGUAACUGACGCUGAGGAGCGAAAGCGUGGGGAGCGAACAGGAUUAGAUACCCUGGUAGUCCACGCCGUAAACGAUGAGUGCUAAGUGUUAGGGGGUUUCCGCCCCUUAGUGCUGCAGCUAACGCAUUAAGCACUCCGCCUGGGGAGUACGGUCGCAAGACUGAAACUCAAAGGAAUUGACGGGGGCCCGCACAAGCGGUGGAGCAUGUGGUUUAAUUCGAAGCAACGCGAAGAACCUUACCAGGUCUUGACAUCCUCUGACAACCCUAGAGAUAGGGCUUUCCCUUCGGGGACAGAGUGACAGGUGGUGCAUGGUUGUCGUCAGCUCGUGUCGUGAGAUGUUGGGUUAAGUCCCGCAACGAGCGCAACCCUUGAUCUUAGUUGCCAGCAUUUAGUUGGGCACUCUAAGGUGACUGCCGGUGACAAACCGGAAGGAAGGUGGGGGAUGACGUCAAAUCAUCAUGCCCCUUAUGACCUGGGCUACACACGUGCUACAAUGGA
rnacentral:rRNA from 1 species